AAUCAACGCUGGCGGCGUGCCUAACACAUGCAAGUCGAGCGAGAAAGGGGCUUCGGCCCUGAGUAAAGCGGCGCACGGGUGAGUAACACGUGGGUAAUCUGCCCUCGAGUGGGGAAUAACACCGGGAAACCGGUGCUAAUACCGCAUACGAUCACGAUGUUUUCGGAUGUUGUGAUGAAAGGAGCAAUUCGCUCUUGGAGGAGCCCGCGGCUGAUUAGCUAGUUGGUGAGGUAAUGGCUCACCAAGGCAACGAUCAGUAGCCGGUCUGAGAGGACGGUCGGCCACACUGGAACUGAGACACGGUCCAGACUCCUACGGGAGGCAGCAAUGGGGAAUUUUUCGCAAUGGGGGCAACCCUGACGAAGCAACGCCGCGUGGAUGAUGAAGUCUCUUGGGACGUAAAAUCCUUUCGACAGGGAAGAAACCGCAAGGUUGACGGUACCUGUAGAAGAAGCCCCGGCUAACUCCGUGCCAGCCGCCGCUGUAA
rnacentral:rRNA from 1 species